GGACAGGUGGCCGAGUGGCUGAAGGCGCACGCUUGGAAAGCGUGUGGACGGGAGACCGUCUCGUGGGUUCGAAUCCCACCCUGUCCGCCA
rnacentral:tRNA from 2 species